GCCCUUCGCUGCUGUUCGACUGCAUCAUCUUGUCGAAUAGAACUGGUGCUAUCUAAAAGGCGUUGCUGUAUAUGAUGGGUUGGCAUUCGCAAUCAAACGUCUUCCGGAUUGCCCAUUUUCGGAGAAGCAACUUCUUACGAGAUGGGCAGGCUCGAGCAGCUCAGGCACCCCAAUUUUAUGCCAUUGUUGGAUCUACUGCAUCAAUGAGGAAAAAAGGCCUUUAAGCACGCUAUGAUCGGUGCAUGUGAUUAUUCGCAUAUAACUGAUAGUGCUUAGAGUUGGGUUUAGUGGAGCUUCAUCAAAUGAAAGUUAAUGGAUUCAUAUGCUUAUUUCCACAAGCUCUGUAAAUGACACACUCCUGGCUAAUAUUGAAAUAUGACACUUGCAAACUUGUUCAAUGGAAUUUGCUACUGAUGGAAGAACAUUCUUAUUAUGGGGAGGGUGCAUGAUGAUGAUUUCAGGAAUGACAGACAUGGGUUGGUUACUUCUCUUCGAGAUGGUGGAUACUCUGAUGACAUGACCCUUGCUUCUAUAGCAGGUAGUUUUGUGCUUUUGGGUUCUGUUCUUUAGCAGAUGUUUGGAGGAUUCCUUCUGUCUGCAAAUCUAUUCCCUCAUGAAGAACAUCCAGAUCCACCAUAUUGGCACCUUUGUUACUUGUGAAAUGGGGUCAUAGCCCUAAAGUUGGUCUGACUGAUUCAACAAGAUCAGUUAGUCGUGAUAUGAUCCACUUGUGCUUGAUCUGUGGACAAAAAAAGAAUCAAUUUUGACCUUUUUUCUUA